rnacentral:sRNA from 1 species
GUAAUAAAAGGCUGGCUCCCUUCGAGGGAGCCACUGCAAACGAAACAGUUUUGGACAGGCGUGCUGAUCCCAGACCUGUUCCGUCUGCUGCGGUUUUUUUACGCAUGGUUGAGUUAUUUGUAACGCAUGAAUCCCAUCUUAACAAAUAGGCUCCAGAAGAAACUGGGCUACACUUUUCAAC